GAUCAUUUUUCUCCUGCACCAGCUUCACCAUUUUCUCCUCUAGCUCCUUCCUCUUUGCCUCAGACUUUGCAAGCUCUUCCUUGGUUUUCUCAAACUCUUGUUUCAUGUUGGCCAUCUCCUUCUCAGAUUCUGCACUCUUCAGCAAAGGCUUGAUUUUGAAGAACAGCUUCAUCCAGGGCCAGUGUUUGACAUUCAUGAAUGCACGAAUGUUGUACUGGAUGCAGAAGAUGGACUCUCUGAAUGGAAGCCCCUGCACCUGGCCUGUGUGCGAGUAAUGAGCUGUGCCAGCUUCUCAUCCCUCAUCUCCUCCAAAAGGCCUAUCAGCCCAGCUUUGAAGAACACCUUAGGAACCCUGAAUUAGAAUAAUCCUAUGACAAUGAAUUUCACUGUUUUAUUGAAGUGGACUCUGUUGGGAAAUCCUUUCCUGCAAAUUCUGAUCCCUUCCAGCACACCAUUACACCGGAGCUGAUGCAACACCAGCUCAUGUUCCAUGGCACCUAACAAUUCAGAGCACAAAUGAAUGUUGUAUUCUGUAAUGCAUCAGGAAAUACCUGCACCAUAUUGAAGACUUUCUGUAUACAUGACUAUGGCAAUUCCCAACUUCUGCCUAGUUCUUUAAAAAGAGAAGACUCAGAAAACUGGAGGCAUGGGUUCUAGCUCCUGCUCUGACAGAGAGGAAUCAAAUCCACCUCUCUCAUCAAAGUUGCCUGGACAUAAGAUAGUUUUGACAGUGACCUUCCCUGUUUCCCUGCUCUGGAUUGUCCCUUUUACAAAGGAUUCCUUGGGAUGGGCCACAAAGACGGAUGACUUAGCAUCAAAAGGGCUAGACUCUGCUGUGACCAGAAGCAAACCACAGCACAGUCAAAAGACAAGAGGCAACCUCAAAGCCAUCUCUGGAUACAGACUGUCCUGCACAGCAGUGUGAUGUGGGCAAGGCACUGGCAUGCUGAUAUUUUCCAUGGAGGAGAGAGGAUUCAGGCGUACUGAAAAUAGAACCCUCUUGAGAUGGAGAUGAGGAAGCUGCCUCACUUUCUGCCAGCCCUUAAGAUAUGUUAUUUUAUUCUCCUGAGCCCUGUGGUUGUUGAGAGAUGAAGAGUGAGAAGAUGCUUCUUAGAUGGGCAACUAGAUUGGAGUGAGGAUGUGGAAGAACCUACAGACUGCCAAAUGUUGGCUACUGAGAACCUCCCUUCCAUUCCCAUUCAGUGCAGUUGAGCUUGCGAGCUGGAAACAUGCAAAUGUACCUGUAUGACAAGUACAUAUGUAAAAUUUUAAUUUCUAAAUUAAACUGUACAGUAUCACAAGCUUCAACUAUUUACAGCUUUUUUUAGCUGCAUUGACUUUAACCUUAUUAAGUCAGUCUCACUUGACUCCUCUUUCCCACCAACUUUCCCCAUGUGCCUAUUUCACAAAGACAGAACGUCACUGGCUUCCUGAGGAAUUUUUUUUCCCCUGAAGAACACAUAUUCAACUGAGAGGAAUUCAAGUAGCCCACUUAUGAUGAGACAAAAUUCAACUUCACCAAAUUUUUGAAUGGCACUAAAUUAGACAGAGUAGAUGAUAUGACAAAUGACAGAGCUUCAUUCCAAAGGGACUUUAUUUAACUUUAAGAAACAACAUUAAGACUGGAUCAACCUUAUGAAGAUCAUUGCAGAAAAGUACAAAGCUCACAUCUGGGAAAAGAAUAAGUCCCAGGUGUCAGUACAGGGUGGGAACUAACCAGUUCAGCAGAAGCCUUGCCAAAAAGGACUUGGAAGUUAUGGUGGAUGCCCAGAAGAAUAAUGAGUGCUCUCACUGCAAACAUGACAAAGUACUGGAUGAUGUUAAAAGCAUGUUCAGUUGAUUGUAGGAAACCAUUAACCCUCUUGCUGGGUACUGGUGGGUUGUCAUCUGAAGUGGUUUGUCCACUUCUGGGCUCUCCUGUUCAGAAAGGUUGUGCACUAAUGGGAGAAGGUGCAGCAGAGGGCUACCAAGAUGAUCUAGAAAACUAGUCCUAUGAGGAGAUUUUGAGGAUAUUUAAUCUGAGGAAAAAAGGUCUACGUUUCAUGAGGGGAAGUUAUAAGUACAAGAUUUCAAACUUUUCUCAUUAGUAGCAGACAAUUUAACUAGGGAUGAUGAUCACAUAUCACAUCUGGAGAGGCUCCAGUAAGUCAUUAGGAAAAUUCUUCACUAUUAGGUAAUGUCGUAAUGGCACAGGCUACCCAAGAGAGGUGGCUGAGCCUAAGGCGUGGCUAAUCAAAGCCAUGACUAACCUGACUGAUAUCAGCAAGACAUCUUGAGUUGGGAGACUGAAUAAAAGCCCUCCAAAUGUCCCUUUACAACAGGAUUUCUGUGACUCUAAUGUAGAGACCUCUCUUUAUCCAAUCUUUAUCUCUUUAUCCAAGUGGACAAUAGCUCAAAGCUGGGCAGAUAUUUGCAGCUUCAUGUCUUGUCAUGAAUAUUUUUCUUGAGA